UACGGAGGGGGCAAGCGUUGUUCGGAAUUACUGGGCGUAAAGGGCGCGCAGGCGGCUGCUCAAGUCAGGCGUGAAAGGCCUGGGCUCAACCCGGGAAUUGCGCUUGAGACUGGGCUGGCUUGAGUGCGGGAGAGGAUGGUGGAAUUCCCAGUGUAGAGGUGAAAUUCGUAGAUAUUGGGAAGAACACCGGUGGCGAAGGCGGCCAUCUGGACCGCAACUGACGCUGAGGCGCGAAAGCGUGGGAGCAACAGG
rnacentral:rRNA from 1 species